CUAGUGGGACAGCCGGAGUAAUCCGGAGGAAGGUGGGGACGACGUCAAGUCAUCAUGGCCCUUAUGACCAGGGCUACACACGUGCUACAAUGGCAAGGACAACGGGAUGCGACCUCGCGAGAGUGAGCCAACCUCAAAAACCUUGUCUUAGUUCGGAUUGCAGUCUGCAACUCGACUGCAUGAAGUCGGAAUCGCUAGUAAUCGCAGGUCAGCAUACUGCGGUGAAUACGUUCCCGGGCCUU
rnacentral:rRNA from 1 species